UACGUAGGGUGCAAGCGUUGUCCGGAAUUAUUGGGCGUAAAGAGCUCGUAGGCGGUUUGUUGCGUCGGCUGUGAAAUCCCGAGGCUCAACCUCGGGUCUGCAGUCGAUACGAGCAAACUAGAGUGUUGCAGGGGAGACUGGAAUUCCUGGUGUAGCGGUGAAAUGCGUAGAGAUCCGGAGGAACGCCAGUGACGAAGGUGGCCACCUGGCCCUCGCCUGACACUGAGACGCGAAAGCGUGGGGAGCGAACCGG
rnacentral:rRNA from 1 species